UACGUAGGGUGCGAGCGUUGUCCGGAAUUACUGGGCGUAAAGAGCUCGUAGGUGGUUUGUCGCGUUGUCCGUGAAAACUCACAGCUUAACUGUGGGCGUGCGGGCGAUACGGGCAGACUGGAGUACUGCAGGGGAGACUGGAAUUCCUGGUGUAGCGGUGGAAUGCGCAGAUAUCAGGAGGAACACCGGUGGCGAAGGCAGAUCUCUGGGCCGUAACUGACGCUGAGGAGCGAAAGCAUGGGGAGCGAACAGG
rnacentral:rRNA from 1 species